rnacentral:rRNA from 1 species
UCUCUUACAGGCAAUCGGUAAAUUAAUCUCCCUGUGCAAAAGCAGGGAUAAAACCAUAAGACGAGAAGACCCUGUGGAACUUUAAAACCAGCAGCCACCCCAAAACACAUACACCCCCACUGGGCUCACUGACACACUGGGAGCUUGGCCUGCGUUUUUCGGUUGGGGCGACCUUGGAGAAAAACAAAUCCUCCAAAAAUUAGACCAUACAUCUAGACUGAGAGCAACCCCUCAACGUGCUAAUAGCAACCAGACCCAAUAUAAUUGAUCAAUGGACCAAGCUACCCCAGGGAUAACAGCGCAAUCCCCUCCGAGAGUCCGUAUCGACGAGGGGGUUUACGACCUCGAUGUUGGAUCAGACAUCCU